rnacentral:rRNA from 1 species
GACGAACCGUGCGAACGUUAUUCGGAAUCACUGGGCUUAAAGCGCGUGUAGGCGGGUCGGCACGUCGGUCGCUGAAAUCCCCCGGCUCAACCGGGGAAGGGGCGCCGAUACGGCCGGCCUGGAGGGACGUAGGGGGGGGCUGGAACUUCCGGUGGAGCGGUGAAAUGCGUUGAGAUCGGAAGGAACGCCCGUGGCGAAAGCGACUUCCUGGACCAAUACUGACGCUCAUGUGCGAAAGCGUGGGGAGCAAACAGG